GAUCCGGUGGUUCUGUGUGGAAGGGCCAUCGCUCAAAGGAUAAAAGGUACCCCGGGGAUAACAGGCUGAUCUCCCCCAAGAGCUCACAUCGACGGGGAGGUUUGGCCCCUCGAUGUCGGCUCAUCGCAUCCUGGGGCUGGAGCAGGUCCCAAGGGUAUGGCUGUUCGCCAUUUAAAGCGGUACGCGAGCUGGGUUCAGAACGUCGUGAGACAGUUCGG
rnacentral:rRNA from 1 species